CGGGACACGUGGUAUCCUGUCUGAAUAUGGGGGGACCAUCCUCCAAGGCUAAAUACUCCUGACUGACCGAUAGUGAACCAGUACCGUGAGGGAAAGGCGAAAAGAACCCCGGCGAGGGGAGUGAAAAAGAACCUGAAACCGUGUACGUACAAGCAGUGGGAGCACGCUUAGGCGUGUGACUGCGUACCUUUUGUAUAAUGGGUCAGCGACUUAUAUUCUGUAGCAAGGUUAACCGAAUAGGGGAGCCGAAGGGAAACCGAGUCUUAACUGGGCGUUAAGUUGCAGGGUAUAGACCCGAAACCCGGUGAUCUAGCCAUGGGCAGGUUGAAGGUUGGGUAACACUAACUGGAGGACCGAACCGACUAAUGUUGAAAAAUUAGCGGAUGACUUGUGGCUGGGGGUGAAAGGCCAAUCAAACCGGGAGAUAGCUGGUUCUCCCCGAAAGCUAUUUAGGUAGCGCCUCGUGAAUUCAUCUCCGGGGGUAGAGCACUGUUUCGGCAAGGGGGUCAUCCCGACUUACCAACCCGAUGCAAACUGCGAAUACCGGAGAAUGUUAUCACGGGAGACACACGGCGGGUGCUAACGUCCGUCGUGAAGAGGGAAACAACCCAGACCGCCAGCUAAGGUCCCAAAGUCAUGGUUAAGUGGGAAACGAUGUGGGAAGGCCCAGACAGCCAGGAUGUUGGCUUAGAAGCAGCCAUCAUUUAAAGAAAGCGUAAUAGCUCACUGGUCGAGUCGGCCUGCGCGGAAGAUGUAACGGGGCUAAACCAUGCACCGAAGCUGCGGCAGCGACACUGUGUGUUGUUGGGUAGGGGAGCGUUCUGUAAGCCUGCGAAGGUGUGCUGUGAGGCAUGCUGGAGGUAUCAGAAGUGCGAAUGCUGACAUAAGUAACGAUAAAGCGGGUGAAAAGCCCGCUCGCCGGAAGACCAAGGGUUCCUGUCCAACGUUAAUCGGGGCAGGGUGAGUCGACCCCUAAGGCGAGGCCGAAAGGCGUAGUCGAUGGGAAACAGGUUAAUAUUCCUGUACUUGGUGUUACUGCGAAGGGGGGACGGAGAAGGCUAUGUUGGCCGGGCGACGGUUGUCCCGGUUUAAGCGUGUAGGCUGGUUUUCCAGGCAAAUCCGGAAAAUCAAGGCUGAGGCGUGAUGACGAGGCACUACGGUGCUGAAGCAACAAAUGCCCUGCUUCCAGGAAAAGCCUCUAAGCAUCAGGUAACAUCAAAUCGUACCCCAAACCGACACAGGUGGUCAGGUAGAGAAUACCAAGGCGCUUGAGAGAACUCGGGUGAAGGAACUAGGCAAAAUGGUGCCGUAACUUCGGGAGAAGGCACGCUGAUAUGUAGGUGAAGUCCCUCGCGGAUGGAGCUGAAAUCAGUCGAAGAUACCAGCUGGCUGCAACUGUUUAUUAAAAACACAGCACUGUGCAAACACGAAAGUGGACGUAUACGGUGUGACGCCUGCCCGGUGCCGGAAGGUUAAUUGAUGGGGUCAGCGCAAGCGAAGCUCUUGAUCGAAGCCCCGGUAAACGGCGGCCGUAACUAUAACGGUCCUAAGGUAGCGAAAUUCCUUGUCGGGUAAGUUCCGACCUGCACGAAUGGCGUAAUGAUGGCCAGGCUGUCUCCACCCGAGACUCAGUGAAAUUGAACUCGCUGUGAAGAUGCAGUGUACCCGCGGCAAGACGGAAAGACCCCGUGAACCUUUACUAUAGCUUGACACUGAACAUUGAGCCUUGAUGUGUAGGAUAGGUGGGAGGCUUUGAAGUGUGGACGCCAGUCUGCAUGGAGCCGACCUUGAAAUACCACCCUUUAAUGUUUGAUGUUCUAACGUUGACCCGUGAUCCGGGUUGCGGACAGUGUCUGGUGGGUAGUUUGACUGGGGCGGUCUCCUCCUAAAGAGUAACGGAGGAGCACGAAGGUUGGCUAAUCCUGGUCGGACAUCAGGAGGUUAGUGCAAUGGCAUAAGCCAGCUUGACUGCGAGCGUGACGGCGCGAGCAGGUGCGAAAGCAGGUCAUAGUGAUCCGGUGGUUCUGAAUGGAAGGGCCAUCGCUCAACGGAUAAAAGGUACUCCGGGGAUAACAGGCUGAUACCGCCCAAGAGUUCAUAUCGACGGCGGUGUUUGGCACCUCGAUGUCGGCUCAUCACAUCCUGGGGCUGAAGUAGGUCCCAAGGGUAUGGCUGUUCGCCAUUUAAAGUGGUACGCGAGCUGGGUUUAGAACGUCGUGAGACAGUUCGGUCCCUAUCUGCCGUGGGCGCUGGAGAACUGAGGGGGGCUGCUCCUAGUACGAGAGGACCGGAGUGGACGCAUCACUGGUGUUCGGGUUGUCAUGCCAAUGGCACUGCCCGGUAGCUAAAUGCGGAAGAGAUAAGUGCUGAAAGCAUCUAAGCACGAAACUUGCCCCGAGAUGAGUUCUCCCUGACUCCUUGAGAGUCCUGAAGGAACGUUGAAGACGACGACGUUGAUAGGCCGGGUGUGUAAGCGCAGCGAUGCGUUGAGCUAACCGGUACUAAUGAACCGUGAGGCUUAACCUUACAACGCCGAAG
rnacentral:rRNA from 1 species